rnacentral:miRNA from 1 species
ACUGAUUAUCUUAACUCUCUGA